GAUGAAGAACGCAGCGAAAUGCGAUAAGUAAUGUGAAUUGCAGAAUUCAGUGAAUCAUCGAAUCUUUGAACGCACAUUGCGCCCCUUGGUAUUCCGAGGGGCAUGCCUGUUCGAGCGUCAUUAUAACCCCUCAAGCUCAGCUUGGUGUUGGGGCCUGCUGCACUGGCAGCCCUUAAAAUCAGUGGCGGCGCCAUCUGGCUCUAAGCGUAGUAAUUCUUCUCGCUAUGGAGUCCUGGUGGAUGCUUGCCAUCAACCCCCAAUUUUUCUAUGGUUGACCUCGGAUCAGGUAGGGAUACCUGCUGAACUUAAGCAUAUCAAUAAGCGGAGGA
rnacentral:misc_RNA from 1 species